rnacentral:tRNA from 3 species
GCCCGGUUAGCUCAGUCGGUAGAGCAUCAGACUUUUAAUCUGAGGGUCAGGGGUUCAAGUCCCCUAUCGGGCG